GGUGGCUCAGUGGUAGAGUGCUUGCCUAGCAUGCAUGAAGCCCUGGGUUCGAUUCCUCAGUACCA
rfam:Dipodomys ordii contig_71247, whole genome shotgun sequence.